rnacentral:misc_RNA from 1 species
UUUGUCUUCAAAUUGAAAGAUUAUAAUUCCACCUUCAAAUAAUAAUUCCUUAGAUUUGCUUUUACACUGCCAAACAGUUUAUCAUCCACCUACAUGUCAGGUUCUGUUAUGUAGCCUUGAAAUUUUCACAAGAACCUAAUAUGAUUAAGAAAAUCAUGUUUAAAUACAAUUAUUCUUCUAGCGACCACUCUAUCCUUUUUUUAUCCUCCUUAUGAGCCGUGGACCAAACAUUUAUAUUUUAUACUAUUUUUGAUAAUGAGAUGCAGUGACAAGCCAUUAAGCACAUUUGUUUUCUAUCAGAUUAACGCCAAAAUCUAUCAGAUCAAUGAAAUUAAGAUGUUUCAUGCAAACUCCAUGAGGCGAAUAAAUAAGGUCCUUCCAUUUGA